rnacentral:rRNA from 1 species
UACGGAGGGAGCUAGCGUUGUUCGGAAUUACUGGGCGUAAAGCGCGCGUAAGGCGGCUUUGUAAGUUAGAGGUGAAAGCCCGGGGCUCAACCCCGGAACUGCCUUUAAGACUGCAUCGCUUGAAUCCAGGAGAGGUGAGUGGAAUUCCGAGUGUAGAGGUGAAAUUCGUAGAUAUUCGGAAGAACACCAGUGGCGAAGGCGGCUCACUGGACUGGUAUUGACGCUGAUGUGCGAAAGCGUGGGGAGCAAACAGGG